AAGACUGGGAUAACUCCGGGAAACCGGGGCUAAUACCGGAUGCUUGUUUGAACCGCAUGGUUCAAACAUAAAAGGUGGCUUCGGCUACCACUUACAGAUGGACCCGCGGCGCAUUAGCUAGUUGGUGAGGUAAUGGCUCACCAAGGCAACGAUGCGUAGCCGACCUGAGAGGGUGAUCGGCCACACUGGGACUGAGACACGGCCCAGACUCCUACGGGAGGCAGCAGUAGGGAAUCUUCCGCAAUGGACGAAAGUCUGACGGAGCAACGCCGCGUGAGUGAUGAAGGUUUUCGGAUCGUAAAGCUCUGUUGUUAGGGAAGAACAAGUACCGUUCGAAUAGGGCGGUACCUUGACGGUACCUAACCAGAAAGCCACGGCUAACUACGUGCCAGCAGCCGCGGUAAUACGUAGGUGGCAAGCGUUGUCCGGAAUUAUUGGGCGUAAAGGGCUCGCAGGCGGUUUCUUAAGUCUGAUGUGAAAGCCCCCGGCUCAACCGGGGAGGGUCAUUGGAAACUGGGGAACUUGAGUGCAGAAGAGGAGAGUGGAAUUCCACGUGUAGCGGUGAAAUGCGUAGAGAUGUGGAGGAACACCAGUGGCGAAGGCGACUCUCUGGUCUGUAACUGACGCUGAGGAGCGAAAGCGUGGGGAGCGAACAGGAUUAGAUACCCUGGUAGUCCACGCCGUAAACGAUGAGUGCUAA
rnacentral:rRNA from 1 species